UACAGAGGGUGCGAGCGUUGUCCGGAAUCACUGGGCGUAAAGGGCGCGUAGGCGGGCUGUCGCGUCUGGGGUGAAAUCCUCCGGCUCAACCGGGGAAGGGCCUCGGGUACGGACGGCCUCGAGGGGGGUAGGGGCGUGCGGAACUGUGGGUGGAGCGGUGAAAUGCGUUGAUAUCCACAGGAACUCCGGUGGCGAAGGCGGCACGCUGGACCCUCACUGACGCUGAGGCGCGAAAGCCAGGGGAGCGAACGGG
rnacentral:rRNA from 1 species